CCCUAGUUGAUUGUGAUUGGUUGUCCUUAGGUUUUGAUUUCGUAAGCUGUGAGGCAUUUACAGGCUUAGAUCUUGGUUUGCUUCCGGAAGUGGGAGCUUGCUCUAUACAAUGGGUCUGAAGCCUAAAAAAGUAGGGAGAUACCUCAGGGUUCUCUCCUGUCCUGGGCUACAAAACAUUCACCUUAACAGACCGAGCUGUUUAAGCCUGCGCUGUGAAAACAUGACUUUCUCAAAUCCCAAACGCAAGCACUCGGCGGCAGGUGUGCCAUCAACACAAGCCCUGAGGGAAGGACAAAACCCUGGGGCGGUCACAGAAAGUACCAGCAAAAACAGCUGCUGUAUCAUCAGUCCUGCGUCAGUCAAUUGAAGGGCUGUUGGUGGACAGUGGGGAUAAAGAGGAUCUGUAAAAAUUACCUGAAAAAGGCCUUUGGACUCAGACUGGAAAUUUAUACCACCGGCUUUCCUGGGUCUCCAGCUUGCAGAUGGCAUAUUGUGGAACUUCUCUGCCUUCCUAAUCACGUACCUGGAAUGGACAAGAACUCAACAAUUUUUUGAGCAAAUUAUACUACCAAGGAACUUGCAAGUCUAGUGUGUAAAAGUUUGAUAAGAAACCAUCUCCUGAGAUUCUAACCCUGUAUCUGCAGAGAACUGAGAAACUUGGGCUGCAUUCAAUUUCAACCCUGAAACUCCUUGUCUAUCAUUACAUCUAAAGUGAAAAGAGAAUAUGCUUUCCAGUGUGCACUGUAGAAGUGUCCCAGGGAUGAUGGAUAAAGAAGAAUUUCCUAAAGGACAAAGCCAGUGGACCACAAGGACAGUGGAUUGGGGGUUUCCAAGAGGGCUGAGCCGGGAAUUCAUCAAGGAGCCCACUCCAGUGCCAGCGAGGGGAGUCUGCAAUUGCUGCCCAGCAAGAUUUCCACAUUGCUAGAGACCAGCUUCUCUGUGUCAUUUAUAUCCUUCUCUUUUCCAAGUAGGAAUUUUAUUACACUUGUCCUGGUUCUGUUGCACUACUGUAUCUUGUGUUUUCGUGGGAACGUGGGGGCUGUGGGAAGUGGCAGGGAAAUUAUCUAUAGUUAGUCCAUCAUAGAACCAGAUGACGCUUCCUCAGGACUCAUGGAAAGAAUUUCACAUCACGUAGGAAUUCUAGGUUUUGAGCUGAACUGGGUUGGACUCUACAUUGUUCACCUUUGGAAAAGAGGUGUGUCAACAUGGGGUAAAAGAAGCAAAAAAAAAGUUGAGUUACACCCAAAUGGGUUAUGGCAAAAGCUGCCAAGUGUCCCUAGUAUCACUACCUCUUAAUUCCUUCUAAUCCUAGAAGCCACCAGAAUUUUAGCAAAUAUAUACAUGGUCCAAGUAGAAAUGAAAUUUCUAAAAAAAAAAAAAGAAAUUUCUCAGCCUCACUUGGAGUUGACUGUGGCCAUGUGACUCAAUGCUGACAUUUACCUAAUAAGACGUUUGCCUAAGAAGUCAUCUUAUGGGCUUCCCUGUGGUGUAGUGGUUAAGAAUCUGCCUGCCAAUGCAGGGGACACAGUUUGGAUCCCUGGUCUGGGAGGAGCCACAUGCUACAGAGCAGCUAAACCCACGCACCACAACUACUGAGCCUGUGCUCUGGAGCCCAAGUGCCUAGAGCCUGUGCUCCACGACAAGAGAAGCCACCGCAUUUGCAACAAAGUGUAGCCCCCACUCACUGCAACUAGAGAAAACCUUCACAAAGCUACAAAGAUCCAGUGUAGCCAAAAAGAAAUUAAAAAAAUUUUUUUUUCUUUCUAAAUUAGUCUUGCUACAGCAGCUUGACCCGAACAUUAAUAAUGAUAGCACUUCCCCUGCACUCAACAAGAAUGCUAUAAGAAGCCAUCUAGCUACUUCUAGGAAUAAUAAUGGAAUACAAAAUAAAACCAUAUAUAUUUAUAAGUAUUAAUAUCUUAUGUUGUUCAGUUGCUCAGUCGUGUCCUACUCUUCGUGACCCCAUGGACUGCAGCACGCCAGGCUUCCCUGUCCUUCACCAUCUCCCAGAGCUUGCUCAAACUCAUGUCCAUUGAGUCGGUGAUGCCAUCCAACCAUCUCAUCCUCUAUUGCCCCCUUCUCCUCCUGCAAGCUUAAUUGUAUAUUUCAAGGCUACUGAGAAGAAAAUGUCUAAAGAAAACUUCUUCAUGAAAUUAGUAAGGAACAAGUUUACUGGUUCAAUGUAAGUUGUAUUUAAGUCUCUGUAG
ensembl:lncRNA